rnacentral:rRNA from 1 species
AACGAACGCUGGCGGCAUGCCUAACACAUGCAAGUCGAACGCUCUUGGGACUUCGGUUUCAAGGGAGUGGCGCACGGGUGAGUAGCGCGUGGGAACCUGCCCUGUUGUGGGGGAUAACCGAGGGAAACUUCGGCUAAUACCGCAUGCGCCCGAAGGUAACUUCGGGGAAAGAUUUAUCGCAGCAGGAGGGGCCCGCGUCGGAUUAGCUAGUUGGUGGGGUAACGGCCCACCAAGGCGAUGAUCCGUAGCUGGUCUGAGAGGAUGAUCAGC